rnacentral:rRNA from 1 species
AUGAACGCUAGCUACAGGCUUAACACAUGCAAGUCGAGGGGCAUCAGGAAGAAAGCUUGCUUUCUUUGCUGGCGACCGGCGCACGGGUGAGUAACACGUAUCCAACCUGCCCUUUACUCGGGGAUAGCCUUUCGAAAGAAAGAUUAAUACCCGAUGGCAUAAUGAUUCCGCAUGGUUUCAUUAUUAAAGGAUUCCGGUAAAGGAUGGGGAUGCGUUCCAUUAGGUUGUUGGUGAGGUAACGGCUCACCAAGCCUUCGAUGGAUAGGGGUUCUGAGAGGAAGGUCCCCCACAUUGGAACUGAGACACGGUCCAAACUCCUACGGGAGGCAGCAGUGAGGAAUAUUGGUCAAUGGGCGCUAGCCUGAACCAGCCAAGUAGCGUGAAGGAUGAAGGCUCUAUGGGUCGUAAACUUCUUUUAUAUAAGAAUAAAGUGCAGUAUGUAUACUGUUUUGUAUGUAUUAUAUGAAUAAGGAUCGGCUAACUCCGUGCCAGCAGCCGCGGUAAUACGGAGGAUCCGAGCGUUAUCCGGAUUUAUUGGGUUUAAAGGGAGCGUAGGUGGACUGGUAAGUCAGUUGUGAAAGUUUGCGGCUCAACCGUAAAAUUGCAGUUGAUACUGUCAGUCUUGAGUACAGUAGAGGUGGGCGGAAUUCGUGGUGUAGCGGUGAAAUGCUUAGAUAUCACGAAGAACUCCGAUUGCGAAGGCAGCUCACUGGACUGCAACUGACACUGAUGCUCGAAAGUGUGGGUAUCAAACAGGAUUAGAUACCCUGGUAGUCCACGCAGUAAACGAUGAAUGCCGGCUGUUCGGGAUGAUUGAGUCCUGAGCGGCGAAGCGAAAGCGAUAAGCAUUCCACCUGGGGAGUACGCCGGCAACGGUGAAACUCAAAGGAAUUGACGGGGGCCCGCACAAGCGGAGGAACAUGUGGUUUAAUUCGAUGAUACGCGAGGAACCUUACCCGGGCUUAAAUUGCAGUGGAAUGAUGUGGAAACAUGUCAGUGAGCAAUCACCGCUGUGAAGGUGCUGCAUGGUUGUCGUCAGCUCGUGCCGUGAGGUGUCGGCUUAAGUGCCAUAACGAGCGCAACCCUUAUCUUUAGUUACUAACAGGUCAUGCUGAGGACUCUAGAGAGACUGCCGUCGUAAGAUGUGAGGAAGGUGGGGAUGACGUCAAAUCAGCACGGCCCUUACGUCCGGGGCUACACACGUGUUACAAUGGGGGGUACAGAAGGCAGCUAGCGGGUGACCGUAUGCUAAUCCCAAAAUCCUCUCUCAGUUCGGAUCGAAGUCUGCAACCCGACUUCGUGAAGCUGGAUUCGCUAGUAAUCGCGCAUCAGCCACGGCGCGGUGAAUACGUUCCCGGGCCUUGUACACACCGCCCGUCAAGCCAUGGGAGCCGGGGGUACCUGAAGUACGUAACCGCAAGGAUCGUCCUAGGGUAAAACUGGUGACUGGGGCU